rnacentral:rRNA from 1 species
GACGAACGCUGGCGGCGUGCCUAACACAUGCAAGUCGAGCGAGGGGAGUUCUUUGGAACAAACCUAGCGGCGGACGGGUGAGUAACACGUGGGCAACCUACCUCAAAGAGGGGGAUAGCCUCCCGAAAGGGAGAUUAAUACCGCAUAAAAUCAUGCUCUCGCAUGGGAGAAUGAUCAAAGGAGCAAUCCGCUUUGAGAUGGGCCCGCGGCGCAUUAGCUAGUUGGUGAGGUAACGGCUCACCAAGGCCACGAUGCGUAGCCGACCUGAGAGGGUGAUCGGCCACAUUGGAACUGAGAUACGGUCCAGACUCCUACGGGAGGCAGCAGUGGGGAAUAUUGCACAAUGGGCGAAAGCCUGAUGCAGCAACGCCGCGUGAGUGAUGAAGGCCUUGGGUUGUAAAGCUCUGUCUUUUGGGACGAUAAUGACGGUACCAAAGGAGGAAGCCACGGCUAACUACGUGCCAGCAGCCGCGGUAAACUAGUACUACGCUA